GACGAACCGUGCGAACGUUGUUCGGAAUCACUGGGCUUAAAGGGCGCGUAGGCGGCUUGCCAAGUCAGGGGUGAAAUCCAGCAGCUUAACUGUUGAAGUGCCUUUGAUACUGGCGAGCUUGAGGGAGGUAGGGGUAUGCGGAACUUCUGGUGGAGCGGUGAAAUGCGUAGAUAUCUGGAGGAACACCGGUGGCGAAGGCGGAUCUCUGGGCCUUACCUGACGCUGAGGCGCGAAAGCUAGGGGAGCGAACAGG
rnacentral:rRNA from 1 species